UAGGGAAGCUCUUGGUGCGGAGUGAGCGCAGGCCCAGGCUGUGCACAGACCAGCCGCUGGCCAAGCACAGGCGCUGGGGACACCGCUCUGCACGUACACGGACGGACAAAGAAACACACUCUAACCCACAGCAGCUGCCCCUCUAGGCAGUAUCCUAGGCUGGUUUCCGGGGCGGGCUGGGCAGGCGAAACCACUAUACUUUUUUCACUCAACCCUUCUCCGAAACAUUUUCUUCUCAAAGUGCAUUGCCAUUGAACGUGUGUGUGUGACCUAGCUCCACACCCACCGGCAUCAGCGACAUAAAGUUUCUUGCUUUGUUAUUUUAAAAUGUUAACCCUCAACAUGGAACCUCCCAGCCUGCCAUCUGUAGCUGACUGUCUCCUCUGCACAGGAGGGAUACAAUCCAUACCUGCACUCUGAUCAGGAGCUUCUGGCAUGAUGGUCUUGUCAGGUGCCCUCUCCGUGCCUGCUCAACAUCUGACCCUGAUCAGGAGGAGAAAUAAGAGGUUUAGGGAGGAUAUGUUCUGCAAGAUCCUCCAAUUCGUUAUAGCUUCAGACUAUAAGUGCAGGAUUGGAGAGCCCAUCUGAACAUGACCAUGGAGAAGGACCAAGAAUGGAGAGAAUGGUUGCUGCAGGAGAGGCAAAAGGACUGAGACGCAUCAGGAAAUACACCAGGAGAUAAUGACUUUGCUCAGGGAAUAAACUCAAAUGUUGCAGAAGUAUUACUGACAUACAUGCCCAAACUCAGCAAACUUUCCAGUGCUUGGAGAACUCCAUGGCUGCACUCCCUAUAUCCCCCAACAUUCCACAUGGCACCAUGAUGUACCUCCUUACCCCUACCUCUCCAUGCUGGACAACAAAAAGAAAAAUACCUACACAUGUACCGAUCUGACAAAAAAUCCCAGGUUGGUGUAUAUGUAAUCUACUAUACUGUUGUAGCUUUUAUAUACAUGGUCAUAAAUGUUCACUAUUUACUUCCAUUUUCAGAUAGGAUUUUAUAAUUUACUCUGUAUAGUGUUGGUAAAAGUUUUUUAACCUGGUACAUGUUUGUUUGCACUUUCAUUUUAUUUCCUGUUUCUUGGCACACAAUAAAGUUCUGUUUUUUGAUA